UACGGAGGGGGCAAGCGUUGUUCGGAAUUACUGGGCGUAAAGGGCGCGCAGGCGGCUGCUCAAGUCAGGCGUGAAAGGCCUGGGCUCAACCCGGGAAUUGCGCUUGAGACUGGGCUGGCUUGAGUUCGGGAGAGGAGCGUGGAAUUCCCAGUGUAGAGGUGAAAUUCGUAGAUAUCGGGAGGAACACCAGUGGCGAAGGCGACUACCUGGCCUGUUCUUGACGCUGAGGCGCGAAAGCUAGGGGAGCAAACGGG
rnacentral:rRNA from 1 species